rnacentral:rRNA from 1 species
AGAGUGAACGCUGGCGGUAGGCCUAACACAUGCAAGUCGAACGGCAGCACGGUAAGAGCUUGCUCUUAUGGGUGGCGAGUGGCGGACGGGUGAGGAAUACAUCGGAAUCUACCUUUUGGUGGGGGAUAACGUAGGGAAACUUACGCUAAUACCGCAUACGCCCUUCGGGGGAAAGCCGGGGACCAGCAAUGGCCUGGUGCUGAUAGAUGAGCCGAUGUCGGAUUAGCUAGUUGGUGAGGUAAUGGCUCACCAAGGCGACGAUCCGUAACUGGUCUGAGAGGAUGAUCAGUCACACUGGAACUGAGACACGGUCCAGACUCCUACGGGAGCAGCAGUGGGGAAUAUUGGACAAUGGGCAAAGCCUGAUCCAGCCAUGCCGCGUGUGUGAAGAGGUCUUCGGGAUUA